UUUAAAGAGAGUUUGAUCCUGGCUCAGGACGAACGCUGGCGGCGUGCCUAAUACAUGCAAGUCGAACGAACGGAGGAAGAGCUUGCUCUUCCAAAGUUAGUGGCGGACGGGUGAGUAACACGUGGGCAACCUGCCUGUAAGUUGGGGAUAACUCCGGGAAACCGGGGCUAAUACCGAAUGAUAGAAUGUGGCGCAUGCCACGCUUUUGAAAGAUGGUUUCGGCUAUCGCUUACAGAUGGGCCCGCGGUGCAUUAGCUAGUUGGUAGGGUAAUGGCCUACCAAGGCAACGAUGCAUAGCCGACCUGAGAGGGUGAUCGGCCACACUGGGACUGAGACACGGCCCAGACUCCUACGGGAGGCAGCAGUAGGGAAUCUUCCGCAAUGGACGAAAGUCUGACGGAGCAACGCCGCGUGUAUGAAGAAGGUUUUCGGAUCGUAAAGUACUGUUGUUAGAGAAGAACAAGGAUAAGAGUAACUGCUUGUCCCUUGACGGUAUCUAACCAGAAAGCCACGGCUAACUACGUGCCAGCAGCCGCGGUAAUACGUAGGUGGCAAGCGUUGUCCGGAUUUAUUGGGCGUAAAGCGCGCGCAGGCGGUCUUUUAAGUCUGAUGUGAAAGCCCCCGGCUUAACCGGGGAGGGUCAUUGGAAACUGGAAGACUGGAGUGCAGAAGAGGAGAGUGGAAUUCCACGUGUAGCGGUGAAAUGCGUAGAUAUGUGGAGGAACACCAGUGGCGAAGGCGACUCUCUGGUCUGUAACUGACGCUGAGGCGCGAAAGCGUGGGGAGCAAACAGGAUU
rnacentral:rRNA from 1 species